rnacentral:tRNA from 1 species
AUGAUUAGCUUAGUGGUAGAGCGCUGCCUUCACACGGCAGAGGUCGUUGGUUCAAUUCCAACAUCAUC